GUAAUGCUUUGGAAUCUUCCCAGUAGUGGGGAAUAACCAGUCGAAAGAUUGGUAAUACCGCAUACGUCUCGUAAAGGGAAAGCGGGGGCUCGUAAGACCUCGGCUAUUGGAUGAGCCAAAGUCGGAUUAGCUAGGUUGGUGGGGUAAAUGGGCUACCAAGGGGAAAAUCCGGUAGCUGGUCUGAGAGGACGACCAACCAAACCGGAACUGAGACACGGGUCCGGACUCCUACGGGAGGCAGCAGUGGGGAAUCAUUGGACAAUGGGGGAAACCCUGAUCCAGCGACGCCGCGUGUGUGAAGAAGGCCUGCGGGUUGUAAAGCACUUUUAGUGGGGACAAAAAGCUACGGAUUAAUACUCUGUGGUCUUGAUUUAACCCAAAGAAAAAGCACCGGCUAACUCUGUGCCAGCAGCCGCGGUAAUACAGAGGGUGCGAGCGUUAAUCGGAAUUCACUGGGCGUCACAGCGCGCGUAACGGUUCUGUAAGUCCAGAUGUGACAUCCCUGGGCCUCAACCUCGGGAAC
rnacentral:rRNA from 1 species